UAACCAUGAAGCUGCCAGAAUCACAGUGAAGAGUUUUGAGACAAUGAGAUGCAGCGUGCUGCAUGCAGACAGUGCAGAUGGAAUCCAGGCUUGGAACACUGGGACAGUCUCAGGAGACAUUUGGAAGGCUGGCAACAAUCACUGUAAAAGCAAAGAUUUGGAAACGCCACUCCAGAAAUCCUGUGUUUGCCCCUGUGUGUGAUCCUAUGAGUAAAAGUGACAGAAGAUGCUGGAAAAAAAAAAGAGCAAUUACAGUAUGGACACACAACACAAUACAAUGUAAAUGUGGCAAAAGUCUAGACAAGAAAAAGAGAAAGAAGUGGGACUGUUGUUCACAUAGAUAGAAAAAGAUCCUGCAUAUAUCAAGUCAGUAAUGCAAAAAUUAAGAAUGCAAAUCCAACAAAGUAAAAUGUAAAUGUAUACAAAGUCAUGGGCGUGUCACAGCAACCAUAACAUGUACAAUUGUAAUAAUAAAGCAUUGUAAAAACCA